GAUGAACGCUGGCGGCGUGCCUAACACAUGCAAGUCGAGCGAAGCGGGGACGGGUGAGUAACACGUGGAUAACCCCCUAUAAGACUGGGAUAACCUCGGGAACCCGGAGCCAAACCGGCUUCUUAACGAUGGAUCUGCGCUGCAUUAGCUGGUUGGGAAGGUAACGGCUUACCAAGUCAACGAUGCAUAGCCGACCUGAGAGGGUGGGAGGCCACACUGGAACGGAGACACGGUCCAGACUCCUACGGGAGGCAGCGGUAGGGAAUCUUCCGCAAGGGGAGAAAGCCUGACGGAGAAAUGCCGCGUAAGUGAUGAAGGUAUGCGGAUCGUAAACCUCUGUUAUUAGGGAAGCGGUACCUAAUCAGAAAGCCACGGCUAACUACGUGCCAGCAGCCGCGGUAAUAC
rnacentral:rRNA from 1 species